CUGGAGACUAAGGGAUUAGAGUCCGUGAAGUCAGGCUGACUCUGCUUUUACCCUCCCAAAUGAAAAGGCAGACAAAAUAGAUCUUGUGUGCAAAAUAAAUUCACACAGGAAACAAACACAAAUUACCUCCAAACAUAG
rnacentral:snoRNA from 1 species